GGCCGCUUGGCGCAACGGUAGCGCGUCGGACUCCAGUUCCGAAGGUUGUGGGUUCAAAUCCCAUGGUGGUCA